AGUUCUCAAGAAAGCUUCAAAUUGACAAGGAAAUUAGGCUCAAAUCCAAUGCAUGAACUUGAUUUCUUGGCCAUCUAGCCCUAACAAAUAUACGGAACCACACUAACACGGACCAAGCAUGGAAAGCUAACGGGUCAAGCGGAAGCGAGGGAGCAAGCAUGGACACUAACGCUUAAGGUAGUACGAAUCACAGAUUUUCAUCACAAGGAGUAGCGAUCAAAGACCGAGUCACAAGUCAGAUUGUACGGGAAUACUUGAUUACGUAAAUUGAUAGUUAUA